rnacentral:rRNA from 1 species
UGGGGAAUAUUGGACAAUGGACCGAAAGUCUGAUCCAGCAAUUCUGUGUGCACGAUGAAGUUUUUCGGAAUGUAAAGUGCUUUCAGUUGGGAAGGAAGAAAUGACGGUACCAACAGAAGAAGUGACGGCUAAAUACGUGCCAGCAGCCGCGGUAAUACGUAUGUCACAAGCGUUAUCCGGAUUUAUUGGGCGUAAAGCGCGUCUAGGUGGUUAUGUAAGUCUGAUGUGAAAAUGCAGGGCUCAACUCUGUAUUGCGUUGGAAACUGUAUAACUAGAGUACUGGAGAGGUAAGCGGAACUACAAGUGUAGAGGUGAAAUUCGUAGAUAUUUGUAGGAAUGCCGAUGGGGAAGCCAGCUUACUGGACAGAUACUGACGCUAAAGCGCGAAAGCGUGGGUAGCAAACAGGAUUAGAUACCCUGGUAGUCCACGCUGUAAACGAUGAUUACUAGGUGUUGGGGGUCGAACCUCAGCGCUCAAGCAAACGCGAUAAGUAAUCCGCCUGGGGAGUACGUACGCAAGUAUG